UUAUAGCUUCCAUAAACAGGUAAAUGAAGUCUUGUGAAAAAGCAUUCUAACAUAUCACAAAAUUCCCAGUAAAUAAUUUUGUUUUAGAAUUUUCAGUUUAUCAAGAAAUUUUGACGAGUGGCCAUAAAGUAAUUUUAUUAAAUAAUUCGAUAAUUUUGCUUGAAUCUUUCCAGUUUGCCAAGAAAUUUUGAUGAAUAGCCAGAAUUAUUGAACCACCCUGUAGAUGCAUUAUUCGCCAUGGAAAGGUCUACGUCUCCAAAUGAACUUCCCCUCGAACAAUAGUAUCGGACAAAGGGGAAUACGAAACAAUUCUGGAAACGGGUUCUUACUUGGUUUGCAACCUUGCUCCGCUUUGAUUCUUCGAUCGCCUCCCUCUUUUAUUCGACACGUCAGAGGCUGCCUCAAUGAUUCAUCCACCUCACGCCCCUUCUACCCUCCCCUUGGAAAGGGCGAGUCGACACGCGACAUCACGUAUCAUUUCUUUAUCCACAAGUAUUCAACGAUAAUUUCAUUCACUGUUAAAUAAUUUUUAUUAUCUAUACAUGUAGCUAUAUGUAGAAGUACAUAUACAGUGGCUGUAAGAAGUAUUUAUACGUCAUUAAUAUAUAUUAUACUAUAUAAUAAAUAAAUACUAUUAUACUAUA